GCCUGGGUGGCUCAGUAGGUUGAGCGCGUAACUCGAUUGUGGCUCAGGUCACCAUCUCACAAGUUCGUGGGUUCGAGCCCCACAUCGGGCU
rnacentral:tRNA from 1 species